rnacentral:rRNA from 1 species
UCCGUAGGUGAACCUGCGGAAGGAUCAUUAAAGAGUAAGGGUGCUCAGCGCCCGACCUCCAACCCUUUGUUGUUAAAACUACCUUGUUGCUUUGGCGGGACCGCUUGGUUCCGAGCCGCUGGGGAUUCGUCCCAGGCGAGCGCACGCCAGAGUUAAACCAAACUCUUGUUAUUAAACCGGUCGUCUGAGUUAAAAUUUUGAAUAAAUCAAAACUUUCAACAACGGAUCUCUUGGUUCUCGCAUCGAUGAAGAACGCAGCGAAAUGCGAUAAGUAAUGUGAAUUGCAGAAUUCAGUGAAUCAUCGAAUCUUUGAACGCACAUUGCGCCCCUUGGUAUUCCGAGGGGCAUGCCUGUUCGAGCGUCAUUACACCACUCAAGCUAUGCUUGGUAUUGGGUGCCGUCCUUAGUUGGGCGCGCCUUAAAGACCUCGGCGAGGCCACUCCGGCUUUAGGCGUAGUAGAAUUUAUUCGAACGUCUGUCAAAGGAGAGGAACUCUGCCGAUUGAAACCUUUUAUUUUUCUAGGUUGACCUCGGAUCAGGUAGGGAUACCCGCUGAACUUAAGCAUAUCAAUAAGCGGAGGA